GGAAGGAUGGCAGAGUGGUUGAAUGCGACGGUCUUGAAAACCGUUAAGCUGAAAGGCUUCCUGGGUUCAAAUCCCAGUCCUUCCGCCA
rnacentral:tRNA from 1 species